GGUGUUCUACUUCACCAGCAGCAGCGUUAAUUCAUCUGCCUGCGCUAUUUACAUGGGAAAGGAUAAAUAUGAAAUAGAGACAGGCAUGGCUGGCCUGAAUAUAUCUGGUUUCGUGCGGACAGACUCUCUUUGGCUCAUGUAUACCUUCAAUUGCAUAAGGGAGAGAAUAUAGAGGACAUUCCAAAGGAAGUGCUGACAGACUGCGCCCACCUUGUGAAGGCCAAUAGCACUCAAGGCUGCAAGAACAACGUUAAUGUGGUAAAUACUCCACGGUCUAACCUGAAGAAAACAGCUGACGUGGAUGUGAGGCAGAUAGGCUUUCACAGGCAGAAGGAUGUAAAAAUUGUGACAAUGGAGAAGAAAGUAAAUGAGAUCCUGAACCGAUUAGAAAAAACCAAAGUGG
rnacentral:lncRNA from 1 species